GACGUAGGAGGCGAGCGUUGUCCGGAUUCAUUGGGCGUAAAGAGCGCGCAGGCGGCUUGGUAAGUCGGAUGUGAAAUCCCGAGGCUCAACCUCGGGUCUGCAUCCGAUACUGCCCGGCUAGAGGUAGGUAGGGGAGAUCGGAAUUCCUGGUGUAGCGGUGGAAUGCGCAGAUAUCAGGAGGAACACCAAUAGCGAAGGCAGCUCGCUGGGACGGUACUGACGCUAAGGCGCGAAAGCGUGGGGAGCGAACAGG
rnacentral:rRNA from 1 species